GGCGAGGUAGCUCAGUGGCAGAGCAGGGGACUCAUAAGCCCUUGGUCGUGAGUUCAAAUCUCACCCUCGCCACCA
rnacentral:tRNA from 1 species